rnacentral:rRNA from 1 species
AGAGUUUGAUCAUGGCUCAGGAUGAACGCUAGCUACAGGCUUAACACAUGCAAGUCGAGGGGAAACGAUAUUGGAAGCUUGCUUCCGAUAGGCGUCGACCGGCGCACGGGUGAGUAACGCGUAUCCAACCUGCCCACCACUUGGGGAUAACCUUGCGAAAGUAAGACUAAUACCCAAUGAUAUCUCUAGAAGACAUCUGAAAGAGAUUAAAGAUUUAUCGGUGAUGGAUGGGGAUGCGUCUGAUUAGCUUGUUGGCGGGGUAACGCCACAAGGCGACGAUCGAGUAGGGGUUCUGAGAGGAAGGUCCCCCANAUUGGAACUGAGACACGGUCCAAACUCCUACGGGAGGCA